rnacentral:rRNA from 1 species
AACGAACGCUGGCGGCAGGCCUAACACAUGCAAGUCGAACGCCGUAGCAAUACGGAGUGGCAGACGGGUGGGUAACGCGUGGGAACAUACCCUUUGGUUCGGAAUAACUCAGGGAAACUUGAGCUAAUACCGGAUACGUCCGAGGUUUUAAUCGGCCUUGGAGAAAGAUUUAUCGCCGGAGGAUUGGCCCGCGUCUGAUUAGCUUGUUGGUGAGGUAAUGGCUCACCAAGGCGACGAUCAGUAGCUGGUCUGAGAGGAUGAUCAGCCACAUUGGGACUGAGACACGG